GUUUUGCCGAAAAUUGAAGAACAAAGAACACCUUUGGUGUUUUAAACAUUCGGCAGUUAGGAAGCUAAAAUUUGAUCAAGAAUUAAAGAAGUCGAAUUUGGAUCGGGGAAAAACAAAAGUAGUCGAAUAGUCGAACGUCUCCGUCUAUAUCCGAGACUUAAGAUCAAGCUUCAAGCUCGGGGAUCGUCAGCAAGUUCAUCACUCUAUCUACUGUAUCGGUAUUAAACUGUUUAAAUUUUAACUUUGGCAUGUACAGGCUAGAUAAAUGUUUUGGAAAGUCGUACUUUGAUAUAUUCUAUAUGAAAUUAAUAGCCAUACGAAAAUGGCUUAUUUUCUUAUGGUUUAACGGGAUCAAAA